AUUGAACGCUGGAGGCAGGCCUAACACAUGCAAGUCGAACGAGUGGCGGACGGGCGAGUAAUGUCUGGGAAACUGCCUGAUGGAGGGGGAUAACUACUGGAAACGGUAGCUACUAACGCAUACCAUCGGAUGUGCACAGAUGGGAUUACCGACUAGGGGGGGUAAAGGCUCACCUAGGCGCCGAUCCCUAGCUGGUCUGAGAGGAUGACCAGCCACACUGGAUCUGAGACGUGUUCCAUACUCCUACGGGAGGCAGCAGUGGGGAAGAUUGCACAAUGGCCGCGAGCCUGAUGCAGCCAUGCCGCGUGUAUGAAGAGGGCCUUCGGGUUGUAAAGUACUUUCAGCGGGGAGGCGUUACCCGCAAACGAAGCACCGGCUAACUCCGUGCCAGCAGCCGCGGUAAUAC
rnacentral:rRNA from 1 species